UACGUAGGUGGCAAGCGUUUGUCCGGAUUUAUUGGGUUUAAAGGGUGCGUAGGCGGCUUUGUAAGUCAGUGGUGAAAUACUCCAGCUUAACUGGAGGGGUGCCAUUGAUACUGCGGAGCUUGAGUACAGAUGAGGUAGGCGGAAUUGACGGUGUAGCGGUGAAAUGCAUAGAUAUCGUCAAGAACACCGAUAGCGAAGGCAGCUUACUGGGCUGUAACUGACGCUGAGAAGCGAAAGCAUGGGGAGCGAACAGG
rnacentral:rRNA from 1 species